UCUCCAGACUUGUAUAAAAUAUAAAUCCCUUUUUGGAGGCCUUGUCGGGUGCAUGUGGAUGUGGAGAAAUGUCAGAUGCAGAUGGUGCUGUGGACCGUUGGACCAGUUUUCCAGAGCUGAGGGACCUUGUGGCCUUGGAUUAAGAUUUUUCAUCCAAGGUCCUGGCUUCACAGCAUCAGAGCUCAUCAUGGGCUGCAGGGAAUUUUAGUGGCCAUUCUGACCAGCUCCCCCGAUUUUCAGGUGAGGAAGCUGAGGAGGCCCAGAGAGGGGCGACAGCUUGCCAUGGUCACACAGCAGGUUGGCACCCCAGCCGGAUGAGAGCCCCGGCCUCGGAGCCCCAGCCUGGGCUGGCCAGGUCUCAGCUCCUGCCGACUCUUGAGUCACGGGAUUUGGGUUCUGCGAGUCUGCAGUACAGACAGGACAGGCUGCGUCCUCCGGGAAGGGGCCUCGUGGUCGCUGAGAAGACGAGCAUGUAAGGAAAGCUGGUGGGUGACGAGCCAGCGCCCUGUCUGUCUCCUGCAGGAAAGCAGUGAGGAGUCACUCCGCCAAGGUCUCUUAAAGGAGAAGGCUGUGUUAUUUCCCGAGCUGCUUCCUGCGUGGUGCAACCGAGCUGAGAGCCGGAGCCGACUUUGGAAGGCUCAUCCUCCAACCCACUCUCCCGUCGGUGGAAAGGUAAACCAAGAAUACUUCUGUUUAAUCUGGACCAGAAAACCAAACAGAAUGAAAAACCCCCAGGUCCGAAAGAUUUCAAAGCAAACACAGCUUUAGGGGCUGUUGAAGGUCAAAGAUAAAAGCCCCAGACAGCACAAUACACUGUAUGUUGUGCGUGUCUUCGGUUCCUGGGCCGGCGAUGCCGGGACCGGUUGUCACAGUGCCUGGCAGCUGAGCCGGUGGGCGGGAGCCUUCUUCCUGCCACGGUAGGUUGAGUUGCUGGUCUAUCUGUCUCCGGCUCUACAACCCUCCUCAGAUGGAUGGGAUAUUUCCUGAUUCUCUCCUAGUGCUGGUGGAAAGAAAGUAUCCUUUAAGCAGAGCAGGAUUAACUUUCACUAAAGCGUGCUACAGGGACUUUAUAUACAUUGUUGCAACUCGUGAUCAAAGAGAGGUUAUUUAUUUUUUUUACUUAUCUAUUUCUAGGUUUAUAGGAAACAAAGGCUCAGAGAGGCAAAGUGAUUACCCAAGGUCACACAGCUGGAACGCAAUGAAGCCAGGACAUGAACCUGCUCCUAGGGCCCUCCUGUUUUCCAUCCCACGGCCAGUCGUCUCAACCAAGAAGGUCUCAGAGUCAGUCUACACAGAGAGAACACGCCUCCGUCACAUCCACUCCUCUCCCAUGUCCGUCCACGGCCUGGGCACGUCAGAUUUGGGGUCCCACCGUCUCGGAUCCCACGCUUCUGGUGUGCUUGGGAACGGAAGGUGUUUGGGGACAAGCCGGGUAGGAGGCCCGGCUGCCGAAACAAAGAGAGAGAAGGCAAGUUCAGGGGCGCGAGCUAGGGCGGGGGGCGCCCACUGCUUCUUUCUGCAGCCUCCCGAGUCAGCGGGUGGCUCGCACACACACGGUGCCGGGGUUUAAGCCCUGUUUCUAACCACGUGCAUGUAGUUAAUCUCUCCGAGCCUCAGUGUUUAUGAAACAGGAAUAAUAAAAAUGCCCACCCAUACA
rnacentral:lncRNA from 1 species